GCGCCAAUAGCUCAAUGGUAGAGCAGCUGACUCUUAAUCAGCGGGUUCGGGGUUCGAGUCCCUGUUGGCGCACC
rnacentral:tRNA from 1 species